CGAACGGGUGAGUAAUGCGUGACCAACCUGCCCCAUGCUCCAGAAUAGCUCUUGGAAACGGGUGGUAAUGCUGGAUGCUCCAACUUGACGCAUGUCUUGUUGGGAAAGUGUUUAGUGGCAUGGGAUGGGGUCGCGUCCUAUCAGCUUGUAGGCGGGGUAAUGGCCCACCUAGGCGACGAUCAGUAGGGGUUCUGAGAGGAAGGUCCCCCACAUUGGAACUGAGACACGGUCCAAACUCCUACGGGAGGCAGCAGAU
rnacentral:rRNA from 1 species